rnacentral:rRNA from 1 species
UGAGGAAUAUUGGUCAAUGGGUGCAAGCCUGAACCAGCCAUCCCGCGUGAAGGACGACUGCCCUAUGGGUUGUAAACUUCUUUUGUAUAGGGAUAAACCUACCCUCGUGAGGGUAGCUGAAGGUACUAUACGAAUAAGCACCGGCUAACUCCGUGCCAGCAGCCGCGGUAAUACGGAGGGUGCAAGCGUUAUCCGGAUUUAUUGGGUUUAAAGGGUCCGUAGGCGGACUUAUAAGUCAGUGGUGAAAGCCUGUCGCUUAACGAUAGAACUGCCAUUGAUACUGUAAGUCUUGAGUAUAUUUGAGGUAGCUGGAAUAAGUAGUGUAGCGGUGAAAUGCAUAGAUAUUACUUAGAACACCAAUUGCGAAGGCAGUUACAGAUUACUGACGCUGAGGGACGAAACGCGUNGGGGAGCGAACAGGAUUAGAUACCCUGGUAGUCCACGCCGUAAACGAUGCUAACUCGUUUUUGGGGCUUCGGGCUUCAGAGACCAAGCGAAAGUGAUAAGUUAGCCACCUGGGGAGUACGCUCGCAAGAGUGAAACUCAAAUGAAUUGACGGGGUCAUAGCUGUUU